rnacentral:rRNA from 1 species
CCUACGGGUGGCUGCAGUGGGGAAUAUUGCACAAUGGGCGCAAGCCUGAUGCAGCCAUGCCGCGUGUGUGAAGAAGGCCUUCGGGUUGUAAAGCACUUUCAGCGGGGAGGAAGGCGGUGAGGUUAAUAACCUCAUCGAUUGACGUUACCCGCAGAAGAAGCACCGGCUAACUCCGUGCCAGCAGCCGCGGUAAUACGGAGGGUGCAAGCGUUAAUCGGAAUUACUGGGCGUAAAGCGCACGCAGGCGGUCUGUCAAGUCGGAUGUGAAAUCCCCGGGUUCAACCUGGGAACUGCAUUCGAAACUGGCAGGCUAGAGUCUUGUAGAGGGGGGUAGAAUUCCAGGUGUAGCGGUGAAAUGCGUAGAGAUCUGGAGGAAUACCGGUGGCGAAGGCGGCCCCCUGGACAAAGACUGACGCUCAGGUGCGAAAGCGUGGGGAGCAAACAGGAUUAGAUACCCGGGUAGUC